UCUUCCAAAAGUAAUCAUAUUCAAAAAGUCAUGGAUAUCCAUAUUAUCUGCUGGAUAACCCAUUUUUUAUCCAUAUUAGUUAUGGGUCAAGUCGGAUAAUUUAUCCGUUUUUAAAUUACCCAUUUCAACUUGCUCAUAUCCGAUCCGACCCGCAUGUUUGCCCCCCUAAUCUUUCCCAUUCACUGAAGCAUCACCCAUCCCUUUCCCUCACACUAAAAGCUCGACACUCAUAUUUGACAGAAAAUUUCAAAUGAAUCUAUACUAUAUUAAAAACAUGAAUACCCUUAACGAAAUAUGGUUCAUCUUUUUUAUCUUUUAAAAUUUGAUUUUACAUUAGACAAAAUUGUCAUUUACUCAUUUUCCUAACAUUUAGGACAUAAAAUUAAAUAAAUUUUUGGAUAUUAUAUCAUUCCAUAUUUGAACUAUAUAAAAGCUCCUAAUAUUUAGGAAUUUCAAGUCAAGAAAAAUUUAACUUAUAUAAAUACAUUACUUAUUUCAAUUUAGGAGAAUUAAUUAUUAGCGUGUCAUUACCGUUAUCAAUAUGUUUCUUCCAUAAGAAAAAGUGAUUUAACUUAUAUAAAUACAUUACUUAUUUCAAUUUAGGAGAACUAACUAUUAGCAUACCAUUACCGCUAUCAAUAUGUUUCUUCCAUAUAGAAAAGUGAUCUUUAACUUUUAAAAAUUUAAUCCCCUCACGUCAAAUUAUAGACAUAUAAUUUAUUUUAUAAAUAUGACUAUGUUUCUAUCUCAAGACACAACUCGACAUUUAUAAAACUUAAAAAUAGAAAUAAUGCCAACAAUUUUAUUUAUUGAAAAUCGACGGGGAUUUUAUUUGUCUUUGGACACAUAGAAUUACUUUUGAAAACUAUUGAUUUGGUUAUCUACUAUAUGUCAAUUUUUAAAUUAAAUAUAUAUUCUGAAAGUAGAGAAAUACUAUUAACGUUUUAGAUUAAAUCUAAUAAAAAGUAAUAAUAUUUAAAGUACCUAAAAACAUAAAAAUUUAUGGAGUAAUUAUGUGAAGUUAAUUGCCCAUAGAGUUGAAAUUGGUUGACAUAUCCACUUUUAUACAUUUAAAAAACUAAAUUAUUCCUUCAACAAAUAAAUCCAUGUUAAAAAUUAAAAUUAAUACUUAAUUUUUUUUCUAAUAUUUAGAUCUAUUAAACAAAUUAAAUUCUACCAUAAUUUUGAUGGAAUGUGAUUUAUGGAUCAUACAUUUGCAUUAAAAGAAUUUGAUAAUAUAUAUAUUAUAAAAAUACGAAAUUAUAAUAUGAGUUGAUAUUAAUUUUUAACCCUUCAUAAAUGCAUUUUAUGUCAACAACAAUAAUUAUGACUCAGUCCUAACUCCGCCUCUGUGAGAUCGCUUACAUUGGCUGUCCCAAGCUAGCAUAAAGGAGGACAAUUACGGUAGGCAGCCGGCCAACAUAAAACUUGCUAAUUCAUAAUGAAUUCAUGUAAGAUAAAAUCAUAAUUAUAAUUAAUAAUUAUGUUUUGACAUAACUAAAAUUUAAAACUUUGUGCACUUCUAUAGGGACAAAGCUUCUUCCUUUAUUGAGAUUGUUGAAUAAAAUCGACAAUCAUCAUUCUCACGAUUUUAUAUUAUUUUUUUGUUAUCUUUUAUAUAACUCAAAACUUUAAUAUAAUGCUUAUGAGAUUUUUUUAAAACUUUUGUUUUUUCAGACGAGGUUCGCGUACUCCUAAGACUAGUUGAAGAAAUAACCUAGUACUGAGCAUCUGCAAUUAUUCUUGCCAUCCAGGGAAUGGAAGAAAAAAAAGAUGCAAGACGCACAUUCCAGCUCCGUCUAGUACCACUUAAGUUCUCAUUCAGUCACAUCAAAAUAGUAAACAGUUUUAAUAUUCAGAAGAAGAGAAAAGACAAAUACUGUUAACUACAUCCGUUUGAAAUCUCCUAUAUCGCAAAGUUACAGAACUCGACGAACAUUGGGUGCAUACAGCAUGAAGAUUAGAUCAUCUGACCAGCUCAACAUAAUAGAAACCGCCUUAGCCCAGUGAUACUUGUAACACCACCAUUCACGCAUGCAGGAGA
rnacentral:lncRNA from 1 species